rnacentral:misc_RNA from 1 species
UGCACAAAUGCAAGUAAAAGAAAGGUGCAACCAUAACUAGGGAAGAUAUAAUUAACUUGUCUUUAUAGAAAAUAACCCAGAAAUAAGUCAAAAAUCACAAGGAAGACUGUGAUCAAACAAACAGCAAGACAUGUAUCUUUUAGAAAGAAAAACAGCAAGGUUCAUACUAGGAGAUCAGAUCUUACACAUAGAGCAUGCAACUACAAUUUGUCAUACAGAAA